rnacentral:rRNA from 1 species
UACGUAGGCAGCGAGCGUUGUUCGGAAUUACUGGGCGUAAAGAGUGCGUAGGUGGUUGACUAAGUUUGGUGUGAAAUCUCCCGGCUCAACUGGGAGGGUGCGCCGAAAACUGGCUGACUAGAGUGUGGGAGAGGGAAGUGGAAUUCCUGGUGUAGCGGUGAAAUGCGUAGAUAUCAGGAGGAACACCUGCGGUGUAGACGGCUUCCUGGACCAUGACUGACACUGAGGCACGAAAGCGUGGGGAG